rnacentral:rRNA from 1 species
GCACAAGCGGAGGAACAUGUGGUUUAAUUCGAUGAUACGCGAGGAACCUUACCUGGGCUUAAAUGUAGAGUGCAUUUUCUAGAGAUAGGAAUUCCCUUCGGGGCUUUCUACAAGGUGCUGCAUGGUUGUCGUCAGCUCGUGCCGUGAGGUGUCGGGUUAAGUCCCAUAACGAGCGCAACCCUUAUCGUUAGUUGCCAUCUGGUAAAGCAGGGGACUCUAGCGAAACUGCCACCGUAAGGUGAGAGGAAGGUGGGAUGACGUCAAAUCAGCACGGCCCUUAUGUCCAGGGCUACACACGUGUUACAAUGGUCGGUACAGAGGGCAGCUACCUGGUGACAGGAUGCUAAUCUCGAAAACCGGCCUCAGUUCGGAUCGAAGUCUGCAACUCGACUUCGUGAAGCUGGAUUCGCUAGUAAUCGCGCAUCAGCCAUGGCGCGGUGAAUACGUUCCCGGGCCUU